UGCUGAUACUAUUGAUUUUAUUAACAUAAUUCACCCUUAUGGCUUCACCCAGGUGCUUUGAGUCUAGCCUGGAUCAGUUUUAUGGCCCACAAUGUGACCAGCGUCUAUCAACAAGCCCAGAAACACAUACAACAAUGAUAUCCUCAUCCACAGUGCCACAAUCUACAUUGGCACCCACAGAGAUGACUGAAUUAACAGCCUCGAGCCCAAAACUCACCACAAAUGGAGUUACAAGAGCUUCCAACACUGAUCACUCUGCACCAACCAUCACCUCAUCCACGAAUUCAGAAGUCUCCACAAAUUCACACUCUACAUUGGCUACUCAUUCCACUCAAGCAUCUACUGAACACACAAGUUCAACUUCGAUACUAAGUACCAGCAACACUCAGCCUCCAUCAACCAGCCAGGAAACAUCUGCAACAAUGAUGUCCUUGUCCACAGAGCCACACUCUACAUUCGCUACUCAUUCCACUGAAACAUCUACUGAAGACACAAGUUCAACUUCAAAACUAAGUACAAGAAACACUCAGCUUCCAUCAACCAGCAAGGAAACAUCUGCAACAAUGAUGUCCUCAUCCACAGAGUCCCAAUCUACAUUGGCACCCACAGAAAUGACUGAAUUAACAGCCUCGACCUCAACACUCACCACAAUUGGAGUCACAAAACCUUCCAGCACUGAUCAUUCCGCAACAACCAUCACCCCAGCCACGAAUACAGAGGUCUCCACAAAUUCACAAUCUACAUUCGCUACUCAUUCCACUCAAGAAUCUACUGAACAGACAAGUCCAACUUUAAUGCUAAGUACCAGCAACACUCAGCCUCCAUCAACCAGCCAGGAAACAUCUGCAACAAUGAUGUCCUCAUCCACAGUGCCACAAUCUACCUUGGCACCCACAGAAAUGACUGGAUUAACAGCCUCAACCUCAACACUCACCACAAAUGGAGUCACAAAACCUUCCAGCACUUAUCAUUCCGCAACAACCAUCACCCCAGCCAUGAAUUCAGAGGUCUCCACAAAUUCACAAUCUGCAUUCGCUACUCAUUCCACCCAAGAAUCUACUGAACACACAAGUUCAUCUUCGAUACUAAGUUCCAGCAACACUCAGCUUCCAUCAACCAGCCAGGAAACAUCUGCAACAAUGAUGUCCUCAUCCACAGAGCCACAGUCUUCUUUUGCACACACAGAAAUGACUGAAUUGACAGCCUCGACCUCAACAUUCACCACAAAUGUGGUUACAAGACCUUCAAGCACUGAUCAUUCCGCAACAACCAUCACCUUGUCCACGAAUACAGAGGUCUCCACAAAUUCACAAUCUACAUUCGCUACUCAUUACACUCAAGAAUCUACUGAACAUACAAGUCCAACUUUAAUGCUAAGUACCAGCAACACUCAGCCUCCAUCAAUCAGCCAGGAAACAUCUACAACAAUGAUGUCCUCAUCCACAGAGCCACAAUCUACACUGUCACCCACAGAAAUGACUGAAUUAACAGCCUCAAGCCCAACACUCACCACAAAUGGAGUUACAAGAGCUUCCAGCACUGAUCACUCUGCAACAACCAUCACCUCAUCCACGAAAUCAGAAGUCUCCACAUAUUCACACUUUACAUUGGCUACUCAUUCCACUCAAGCAUCUACUGAACACACAAGUUCAUCUUCGAUACUAAGUACCAGCAACACUCAGCCUCCAUCAGCCAGCCAGGAAACAUCUGCAACAAUGAUGUCCUUGUCCACAGAGCCACACUCUACAUUCGCUACUCAUUCCACUCAAGAAUCUACUGAACAUACAAGUCCAACUUUGAUGCUAAGUACCAGCAACACUCAGCCUCCAUCAACCAGCCAGGAAACAUCUACAACAAUGAUGUCCUCAUCCACAGAGCCACAAUCUACACUGUCACCCACAGAAAUGACUGAAUUAACAGCCUCAAGCCCAACACUCACCACAAAUGGAGUUACAAGAGCUUCCAGCACUUAUCACUCUGCAACAACCAUCACCUCAUCCACGAAAUCAGAAGUCUCCACAUAUUCACACUCUACAUUGGCUACUCAUUCCACUCAAGCACCUACUGAACACACAAGUUCAUCUUCGAUACUAAGUACCAGCAACACUCAGC
rnacentral:lncRNA from 15 species